CGUGUAGGCGGUCCGGUAAGUGAGAUGUGAAAUCCCUCGGCUCACCCGAGGACUUGCAUCUCAAACUGCCUGACUCGAGUACGGGAGAGGAUGUGGGAAUUCCUGGUGUAGCGGUGAAAUGCGUAGAUAUCAGGAGGAACACCGGUGGCGAAAGCGCACAUCUGGCCCGAUACUGACGCUGAGGCGCGAAAGCUAGGGAGCAAACG
rnacentral:rRNA from 1 species